rnacentral:lncRNA from 1 species
UGUAAAACAAACAAUCAGUUCUUAUAAACGAUAGAAAGUAUUUUGCACUAUUUUUCUUAAUUUUCAGGUCUAUCUCCAAUUCCAGAAGAAGAAAAAGUGCAAUAUGCUUAACACCGACAGGUCACAAAGAUGGAAGUCUACAAGGCAUUCUGAACUACCCUAUCAGGUCGCUUCCAAUUAAGCAUUUGGAACUGCCAUUAAUAGGGAGAGAACUUAGAUAUUCAUAUUGUUCAAGCCAUGGACAUUUGGCAACCUUUCAUUAAAUUCCAUGUGGUUACUACAUACUAGAAUCUAGAAAGAAAAAUAUACUCCUCAAACUCUCUAAGUUCUAACACUUCAUAUAAAGUUCUAUGUUGCUUUCAAAAUAAAAGUUUUAUAUUAUAGAAGAUGAUACAAUGAUUUAAUUUUACACAAAAAAUGCAAAAAAGACCAAAAAUUGAAAAAACAGCAAAGUAUAUGUAAAAUUAAAAACCUUUUUUUUAGCAGCUUGAAACAAGGACCUUACACGCCGAGCUCCAACUCCAACAAACCUAUGGUAGAAAAGUGAGCAACACACUAACAUUAUAUUCUGUUUGGGUUCAAACUUCAGAUUACAUUUCAAAUGCAUAUCUUUUCUUUUUUGAUAAUAUUAAAAUUUCAGUAAAAUGAAAGCACAGAUUACAAGAUUAGGAAUGAGAAAGUUCUCAUAGUCACUCACUCCUAAUAUAACUACAUCUAUAACAUUAUAUAAUCCAAUAAUGAUGCCUCAGAAGGUUGACUCCUAUGAGUUCAGCACAUUCUUCUCAAUCUGUGUUUGAAAGAGCUUUUAUUGGGAGGUAGAAUUGAAGAAUGUGCUCACAUUCCUUAGAACCUCUGUACUGAUCACUUGCACAAAAUCAUAACUAGAGAAUCAAGUUUCAUGUACUUGUGAGUUGUGACAAGUUUUAUAUUUGAUUGGGAAAAUUCAAUUAUCAAGUCCAAAAAGAAAAUAAAUAAAGAUUAGAAUUUUCACAAAUGUUAACACAGUUAAAAAGACAUUUAAAAAAACACCCAUCAGAGAGAGACGGACACAAUGCUAUUGAAAGGGAUCAAAUACGAUUAAGGAAAAAUACGUUCUAUUGUUGAACUGAAUGCUUAAAAUCGACUUACAACAACCGGGCGGCGAGAUCCCUUCUCUGAAAAACUCGCAGCCGACAACGAGAGGUGGUGGGAUAUAACUUCUACAGUCGAUGUUGAGAAUUCUACAGUAGAUUUGCUGCUGCUCUCCGCGUGACUUCUACAGUCCGAUCCGAACUCGGGGGAAUGAGAGGAACUCCUUUGCCGUUGGAAGGGAAUGGGGGGGGGAAUGAGGGGAACUCCUUUUUUCUGCCGUUGGGAGGGAAUGGGGGAGGGGUUUUGGGGUUUUCACGAUUUGGGGGUAUCUUUUAAUAAAUGAAGUUAUUAAAUAUUUUUAAUUUAAAAUAUCUUUUUAAAUAUCUUUCUAAUUUAAUAAAUAUUUUUUAUAUUUAAAUUAUUCACUAAAUUAAAAAGAAGUUAUUUGGAAUUUAUAACUUUCAAAUAACAUUUUAAUUUAAUUUUUCACUUUAAAAUUUUAAAUAUAAAAAAAA